CCCUCGCCUUUAGUUGCCAGCAUUUAGUUGGGCACUCUAGAGGGACUGCCGGUGUUAAACCGGAGGAAGGUGGGGAUGACGUCAAGUCCUCAUGGCCUUUAUGCCUAGGGCUACACACGUGCUACAAUGGGCGGUACAAAGGGUUGCAAUCCCGCGAGGGUGAGCCAAUCCCAAAAAGCCGUUAUCAGUUCGGAUUGUAGUCUGCAACUCGACUCCAUGAAGUUGGAAUCGCUAGUAAUCGUGGAUCAGCAUGCCACGGUGAAUUCGUUCCCGGGCCUUGUACACACCGCCCGUAACACCACGAAAGCUUGCUGUACCAGAAGUUGCUGGGCCAACCCGCAAGGGAGGCAGGCACCUAAGGUAUGGUUGGUGAUUGGGGUGAAGUCGUAACAAGGUAGCCGUAGGGGAACCUGCGGCUGGAUCACCUCCUUU
rnacentral:rRNA from 1 species